rnacentral:rRNA from 1 species
GACAGAGGGGGCGAGCGUUGUCCGGAGUCACUGGGCGUAAAGCGCGCGCAGGCGGCAACCUUAGUGUCGUGUGAAAGCCCCCGGCUCAACCGGGGGAGGCCAUGGCAAACUGGGUCGCUCGAGCUGCGGAGAGGCUCCUCGAAUUGCCGGUGUAGCGGUGAAAUGCGUAGAGAUCGGCAGGAAGACGAAGGGGGAAGCCAGGGGGCUGGCCGCAGGCUGACGCUGACGCGCGAUAGCGUGGGGAGCAAACCGG